rnacentral:rRNA from 1 species
GACGAACGCUGGCGGCGUGCUUAACACAUGCAAGUCGAACGGGCCCGCUCUUUUUUGGGGGCGGGUUGAGUGGCGAACAGGUGAGUAUCACGUGAGCAACCUGCCCUCCUCUCCUGGAUAACCGCUUGAAAGGGCGGCUAAUACGGGGUGUUCCGGUUGGUCCGCAUGGGCUGGUCGGGAAAGGUUCAUCGUUGUGGUGUUUCGGUGGGGGAUGGGCUCGCGGCCUAUCAGCUUGUUGGCGGGGUGAUGGCCCACCAAGGCGGCGACGGGUAGCCGGCCUGAGAGGGUGGGCGGCCACAAGGGGACUGAGACACGGCCCUUACUCCUACGGGAGGCAGCAGUGGGGAAUAUUGGACAAUGGACCAAGAGUCUGAUCCAGCAAUUCUGUGUGCACGAUGAAGUUUUUCGGAAUGUAAAGUGCUUUCAGUUGGGAAGAAAAAAAUGACGGUACCAACAGAAGAAGCGCCGGCUAACUACGUGCCAGCAGCCGCGGUAAUACGUAGGGCGCGAGCGUUGUCCGGAAUUAUUGGGCGUAAAGAGCUCGUAGGCGGCUGGUCGCGUCUGUCGUGAAAUCCUCUGGCUUAACUAGGGGCUUGCGGUGGGUACGGGCCGGCUUGAGUGCGGUAGGGGAGACUGGAACUCCUGGUGUAGCGGUGGAAUGCGCAGAUAUCAGGAAGAACACCGGUGGCGAAGGCGGGUCUCUGGGCCGUUACUGACGCUGAGGAGCGAAAGCGUGGGGAGCGAACAGG